AGCACUGUUAGUUAGCAUCAAGCCGCCAUACUUCCUCGUAACAUCCUGCUGCUGCAGGCGGCAGGCAUGAUGGACAAAGGCAGCAGCAAAAUACUUCUGAAUGGCGCUUUUUAUUUUCCAAAACUACCGAACGGCUCAGUAGAUAAGUCAAAAGCCAUAUGCACAUUGUGUAAAGCCGAAUUAAAAUAUCACCGAAGCACGUCAAGCUUGAGCUACCACCUACGAGCUAAGCAUAUUAUUAACGUGACUAAGGUCGAUGCUAGCAGCCUCAGGCAAAGCACUAUUUUGGAGAGUGAUACUCGCCGACCUGCGGAUAAAACCAAAUCCCAAAAAAUUACUACCGCUCUUGCAAAAUGGGUGGCAACUAACUGCAGACCUGUCAGCAUCGUAGAAGACUCGGGUCUUAAAGAAGUGCUACGGUUAGCAUGUUCUGACCCUUCUUAUACACUGCCGUCGACGGGGACAGUAGUUUCACGCAUUCACAACCUGUACGACACAGAGAAAGCAGCUAAACUGGAACUGCUGCAAAGUGCAAACGCUGUCUCGUUAACCGUUGAUCACUGGACGUCAGUGAGUAAUCAGAAUUAUUUAGAAGUUACUGCACACUAUAUUGACUCUGGUUGGACUUUGCACUCGUUUGCCUUAACGGUUGUUGUUAGUGUUACAUCUCAGUCAAUUG